rnacentral:rRNA from 2 species
CUGGAGGUAUCAGAAGUGCGAAUGCUGACAUAAGUAACGAUAAAGCGGGUGAAAAGCCCGCUCGCCGGAAGACCAAGGGUUCCUGUCCAACGUUAAUCGGGGCAGGGUGAGUCGACCCCUAAGGCGAGGCCGAAAGGCGUAGUCGAUGGGAAACGGGUUAAUAUUCCCGUACUUGGUGUUACUGCGAAGGGGGGACGGAGAAGGCUAUGUUGGCCGGGCGACGGUUGUCCCGGUUUAAGCGUGUAGGUGUGUGUUCCAGGUAAAUCCGGUUCACUUUAACACUGAGGCGUGAUGACGAGGCACUACGGUGCUGAAGCAACAAAUGCCCUGCUUCCAGGAA